CCUCAGAUUGACAGGUCUCAGGCUCAAUCCCGCUCAGGCUCGUAGUAGCGGAGCCAAGAUGGCGUAGGGCGGAGGGGACGAGGAGCAGGGGACGAGGGGACCUUCUCCUCUCCUCUCCGGUGGCAUGGAGCGGAGGGGAGCGCGUCCGGAGGUCUGCGGGCUAUUCUCCGGACGUGUCCCCGGCCGGUGCGGCUCCUCGUCCCGGAGGUUUCCCGGUAAUCAGCGCUGAAUGUGUCGGUGACCCCCCACCCCCAUCUGUUUACCAUUGUGUGCAGCUGCAGCUCGAACCUCAAACAUCUGCAGCGUCUCAGAGAAGAACUCGGUCCAAGAUGAUGCAGAUGAGAAACCAGCUGAAGCCAGGACUGCAGGAACCUCCAGACCUUCAGAUCCGCCCUGGCACCACUGACAGACGACUCCCACCACUGACAGACGACUCCCACCACUGACAGACGACUCCCACCACUGACAGACGACUCCCACCACUGACAGAUGACUCCCACCACUGACAGACGACUCCCACCACCACAGAGAUCAGUGGAGGUAAAGAAAGAAGCAUCACUGACCCGAUGACCUCUUUUGGGAUUUUGGGACACUGGUGCUGUCCUUCCCGCUGUAGCUGGGACAUCGGUCCUUCCUCCUCCACGGCAUCCGCUUUCGUCCUGGCCUGCUUCUGCAGAGUGAUCAUCAACGGGGACAUCUUUCAAGACUGACUUCCAUCUCACACACUGUGACUACGUCUACAUGUAACCUGGAGUUUCUACACUGGCUGUAUCUGUCUGAAAGUCUCCAUGAUAUGGGGAUUUUCAGUCAGAUUUGAUUUCAGGUCACAUGUGAACAUAGUCACUAAGUUUUUACAGUAAAAUCCCACUGUUAUAGGACAAGAGCCGGUUGAUGAUGAACAAAUCAGCUGCUCCUCUAUUCUGCAAAGAAGGUAAAGACACGAGAUACUGUAGCAAAGAUCAAGGCCUGUGAUUAAAUCCAACUCACGGGGAGUUCCUCUGUAGUUUUUUGCACUACCUCAGUGCCGUAACAAGUCCAACAGGAGUGAGAGACGGGUGGGAUCAGUACCUGAAGCUCAAUGGUUGUCAAGUACCACAGCAGUUUUAAAUAUUGUUCCCGGAUGAGUCUGGUUUUAGUGGUAGAGGAUCAACACGUGAGGCCGUCGACUGGUGAACAGGAGCAAAACAACCCAAGCACAUUUACUUUAGUUUCAGCCAUUUUGAGUAACGCCCUCAAACUGUGGUCUCCUAUGCAUCUGUUCUGAAGGAAGGUCACAAGGUCGUCUUUUCACCCCAUGCUCUCAUUUUUGCAUUUUGGGUUUAUUUAGUUUCUCUUUAGUCAAGUCUGCAGGUUUAUUCACAAAUUGCAGGUAGAGACUCAAUUAGUGACACUGACCUUGUGACUUGAGAUCCCAAAAAUAUGGAAACUUAUAGUUUAGAAUGUGUCUUUUAUCGCAAAAGUCUCAUCCAGUUUUCUCUCUCUGUCCUUUCCCCCUUAAAAAAAACGUUGAAUUUCUCUGCUUAUGUUCUCAUUUGAUCAUUUUCCUAUUCAUGGUCUACUAAGAGAUCUAUGUACCCAUCGUGUUUAAAUUCUGCCGGUAGGGACAGAAUUGAUCCUUUGAUUCCUUUCAUUCCAUCAAUCAUGAGACACAAUAUUAAGUGAAAACAGCUUUUCGAUGUGUCCAGUAGGUCGAGAGACACCAGUGCUGAAGUAGCACCUUGCAUUGGUUCUUACAUGAAGGAAACCCUGGCCCCAUUUUUUUCUUUCUUUUCACAUUUUUGUGAAAGAUUUACUUUUAAAAAUCAAAUUUUCCGGGAUUUGUGCAAUAUUUGAUCCUAACUGUCAUGUUGUUGACCAAACUGUAUAUUGUAUAAACAAGUGACAAGUUGUUUGAAAGCAACAAAAUCACCAAUGUCUUCCAUUAAGAUAUGUAUAGACUCAUGUGCAUUAACUAGCCUAUUUAGCGGGACUGUGGUGCCACAUUAUUGUAGCCAUGCAUGACCAGUAGUGAUGCUUGCUUUAUGACGAGUAGUGAAAUCAGUUUUCUAGACUAAAGUGAAGCUCAAAACUAUGGAAACCAUUUCAGUCAAAUUAAAGGGUUGUAGACUGACGUUCUAAAUCUGGAAAGACACCACGUCGAGAUGCAGCUUUGCCUGAAAACAAAUGCAAAACCAACUCUUUGUUCCAUCGAGAUAUGCAGUUAUAAAGUGUUGAUUCAAGUCGUCUCACAUAGGCGUAUGUGCCCAAUAUAAGUUAGUGUUGUUUUACUGUUAUUAGGACUUUUAUCUUUUAAAAAAAGCUUUAGAGAUAUUCUAACAUAUUCUCAUGCAUCAAUAGAAUUAGUUAAUUUUUGAAUAACAACCAUAAAGUUCCCAUGAAACGAGUCUCAGACGUGACAAUGACAGAAUACCUUAAAAAAAGAAGUGAGUAUUACGUUCCUCCUGGAUUAGGAUCUAAUUUGCAGGUGGUGUUUCAGUCCUAGAAUUAAGAUCUCACCAUGACAUCGCAUUGUACAUAACACCUCAUAGUUUUGGGAUUCAAAGUGUUAUAAUUCAAUCCAUAAAAUUGUAUUUGAUUAGAGUUUUAGAAGCAAUAACCUACAAUAAUGCAUGAGUUCAGUGCCAGGGUGUAAGUGUGUUAAAAGGAUUCCGUGCCGUCCCGUGGAAAGGACCACCACCACCUCUUUGCGCUUAAUGUAGCCGUCUAUCUAUUGGUCACUUUUCUGGCGAGUCGUUAAGCUUUAGAAAACAGUAUCUCUUCUUACGGUUUGGGAUACUUCCUGCAGAACUACGUGCAUGUGAGGACUGCUGUAGCAUAACAGUAUUUACAAGUUUACUUAAACACUUAUAUUUUUCAGAGACUAUUUUCCCUGCCUUGUAUUUUUUCAACACAAAAACACAAUAAUCUAAACCAACAUGAGAGACGCUUUAAAUGAUAAUUCUUCUUGUAGCAUUUUACAUCCACAAAACCCCCGUUCCUUUAAAAAUCCAGACAUUCAGUAACUCUGUAGCUGUGAAGUAAGUUUACUGAACCAACUUGACUUGACUUGCUUGAAAGGCACUUUCUCUCUCUGUGCUGACUUGCACCAUCAUCCUCACCGUCCUGUCUUGAAAACUGUAAACUAAAAACCCUGUCAUGCUCUUUGUGGGGAUUUAUAAUCGCAAUUUAUAAGCAAGUAGGCGUCUAGCGACUUGAAUAUAUGGGUUCAAAAAAUAUGCAUGACUAAGCAGAAUAAAGAAUGAUUUGUAUUGCAUGCAAUAAUCCAACUUUGUAAUGUGAAUGGGUGUAACUAGGAUGUUGAAAUGUUCAUGUCAGGUGUUCUGUGACAAGGGGACGACGGGUGUUUGAUUCUACAUGAGGAACGUUGAGGUAGUUUUGAUCACCGGUCGUGGUUUUCACAGACUGCGCUGCACCAAACAGAAACAAUGGAGUGUUUCAAGUGUUUCUGCUCUCUCUCUCUCUGCGGAGUCAAACGUGACCAUGGCAGCGAUGCCACAGUGCAGCUCAACAACCCCGAUCAACCUUUGUUCCCAUGAAAAAAACACAUAUAAGCCUGGGUAAGAUUAAUGAUGUUACUUUGUUUGAUCAACUUUUCCACCGAGGGGGUGGACUGUGUAGAAACUAUGCACUUCAGACGGAGGAAGUGGGCAUGCUUAUUAUGUGUAAGCCUCUUGUCUGGUUUUGUAUUAACAAAAAAAAAAAAAGAAUCUGUAUCAGAAAUUCAGCAAUAAAAUGCAGCAUGGUGCCAA